AUGGAGCGGCUGCAGCGGAUCUUCGGCGCCGGCGGGAUGGGCCAGCCGCCGUCGGACUCGCCGCUGCUCGACUCCUCCGAGCAGGUCUACAUCUCGUCCCUCGCCCUCCUCAAGAUGCUCAAGCACGGGAGGGCCGGCGUGCCGAUGGAGGUCAUGGGCCUCAUGCUCGGCGAGUUCGUCGACGACUACACGGUCCGGGUGGUCGACGUCUUCGCCAUGCCGCAGAGCGGGACGGGGGUCAGCGUCGAGGCCGUCGACCACGUCUUCCAGACCAACAUGCUCGACAUGCUCAAGCAGACCGGCAGGCCAGAAAUGGUGGUAGGGUGGUAUCACUCUCAUCCUGGUUUUGGUUGCUGGCUAUCGGGUGUUGACAUCAAUACUCAACAGAGUUUCGAAGCUUUGAACCCCAGGGCAGUUGCCGUCGUGAUCGACCCCAUCCAGAGUGUCAAGGGGAAGGUGGUCAUCGAUGCAUUUCGUCUCAUUAACCCUCAGACCAUGAUGCUUGGGCAGGAGCCACGUCAGACAACAUCCAAUGUUGGGCACCUGAAUAAGCCAUCUAUUCAGGCUCUUAUUCAUGGGCUCAAUAGACACUACUACUCUAUUGCAAUAAAUUACCGCAAAAAUGAGCUCGAGGAGAAGAUGCUGCUUAACCUUCACAAAAAGAAAUGGACUGAUGGAUUAAUUCUGAAGAAAUUUGACGCACAUUCAGAAACCAAUGAGCAGACUGUUCAGGAAAUGCUGAGCCUAGCCAUCAAGUACAACAAGGCAGUGCAAGAGGAGGAUGAGUUGUCCCCUGAGAAAUUAGCGAUAGCUAAUGUGGGACGGCAAGAUGCGAAGAAGCAUCUAGAAGAGCAUGUCUCAAAUCUGAUGUCGUCGAACAUAGUUCAGACCCUAGGUACCAUGCUUGACACGGUUGUCUUUUAG
rnacentral:rRNA from 1 species